UAGUACACAAUAAUGUUAAAGGUCUAGAAAAAUAUUCAGCUAAGGGUCAAAUUCCAAAACGGAAUCUUAGCAAGAAUCUUUGUUCUUUUACACAUUUCUUGGCUUCUAAGAAUCAAAAUUUUUUUCCAGGACAAAUUCUUGACAGAGUUUAAAACACACAUGAUGUCUUCACUGGAAAAGUUUUCAGUUUGUACAAUAUAAAACAUUUUAAAUUUGUGCAAAACAACUGCACUCAAGGCUAUGGCUUUGGGAGGCAGCUUGUUAAUCACCAAGUCCUACAAAUUGCAUUGAAAUUCUGCUGGAUGCUGAACUUUAGUGGAUACUGGUAACUUUGCUCCUCCAUUGAAAGUAACUGUGUUUUUUUUGAAAGAGGGAGGGGCGGUCUAGCUUAAAAAUUAUCAAGUGUUAUAAUAGGUUAGAGUUUCUGAAGCUUAAAACGCUUUCUUUAGAAAGAACAUCUAUUAAUACAGUUUCUAAGUUAUGAGGGCUAAGGUCUAAAGGACAAACCAAAGGAAUGACAGGGGAAGGGGAUUUAGGGCUAACAGGUGGUCCCCAGACAUAUUGGCUGGAAGAGAGUUCACAGCUAAAGUGUCAUAUGUGGGUGUUACUGUGCUUUCAUCAUCCAUAUUUUCUGUAGGGAGUCAUUCUGGAACAUUCAUAGUUUUAGCUAUGGCCAUUAGAAGUGACUUCAACAGGACCUUCAGAAGAAUAGCCCAUCUCUUUUACUGGUUCCCCAAAUCACUGACCUGCUCAAAGAAUCGGAAAUCCAAGUUGGUGUGGAGCCAAGGGAGCCAAGGUAGAGAGGGUAAAUAUAUAUGUCAUUCUUACUGCCGAGACCUGGUUCAUCUGGAUUAUCCCCCAAAUGGGAAAUUACCAAGCCGCGUGCCAGCUUGUGAAGUAAGACGCUCAAGCGAAAAGCACACUCAGGGCUUAUUUUGGUGUCUUCCCAGAAACUGAUGUUUUGUGGCUGAUGGGUGAGGAGGACAGAUGUUUCAGCUUGGCCUUUUCUCCUUGAUAUUCCUCAUCUGGGCACCAUCCUAGUAUCAAGGGACAAACAAGCUGAACUCAACACCAUCACUUGACCUCAUUUCUGAUUUAUGAAUUCUCCUGCGACCAUGCAAUUGGAGAAGAAGGCAGGCUCUGAAGUGUGUUUUGAAUUUUAAUAUCUUUUCAUACUGGCCUCUUUUUCUGUCAGCCACCAUGUGUGUGCGUCUGCCUUAACUUGCUGACUAGAAAAUUGAAACAUACUUCUAGCCAGCAGCCAGGAACAAAGGGAAAAAUUGUCUAAAGAGCUAUUUAGCUGCCUGCAUUGCCCUCCACCCCACCCCACCCCACCCCCGCCAACACCCCCUCACUUAUAUGAACAACCUUCACAAGAAUCUAAGCUGCUUUUGUAUUAAUGUCAGUCAUGGCCUUUCUCACAGGGUUCUGUGAGCACUGAAACAGUAAGGAUUCUGCCAUCUUGGGUGUGUGUGGGGGGGGUACUGUUCCGAGGGAGGAGGAGCUUGAGGGUGUCUCCCAUCAUCUGGCAAGCCAGAUUCCACGUGAAAAGAAGUAUCUAGAAACUGGCUCAAGGUUAUGUCCUUUUCACUCUGUCUGCUUCCUGGCUCCUUGGAAGACAGUCAGGAUGGCUUCAAGGAAUUGGCAGUGACUUCAUCUGAAAGCAUUUUCCUGAAACAUGUAAAUAUUUAUGCCUUAGAGGACGCUCUGACUCCAGAAAGGCUGACCCCAGUGGUGCUCUGUGGAGGUAAAGUAGAACCCACAGAACAUGCUCUGGGGCAACAAAGUCUCACCUACCUGUCAAGAGAAUUUUGAAUUCCAGUGACAGGAACGAUCCAUAACAGGAAAGU